rnacentral:tRNA from 1 species
AGGAAUAUAGUUCAAUUGGAUAGAACGCUAGGCUACGAACCUAGAGAUGCGAGUUCAAGUCUUGCUAUUCCUA